AUUUUAGGGUUUCUCAUUCUCGUAGCAUUUUAUCCGCCCCCCAUAGAGCUGCUUUCUCUCCAGGCGAUUCAAAAGGAGAUCUAGGGUUUCUCUUGGCGAAGCAAGAUCGGGCUUUCUCAAUGACACCAGAUCAAUGAAUCUCUUUCUAUACGACACCAAAUUGACUGAGUUUGAAGGUGGUGAAGGGUUCGAAUUCGAUUUUAGGGUUUUUAAGAUGCACAUCGCCAGAUCUAGGGUUACGAAAUCUUUUUUUCACCUCCUUUCUCUUCACCUCAUACCAUCACAGGGUUUUCACUUUGGGGAAAACUUUGCAACAUUUUGAGAUUCGGCUGAUUUUCUCUCAUCAGCACCCGGAAGAAGUAUACUGCAAUCCUUGAGUCAAUGGUUCUUGCCUGACGUUAUAGGAAGGUGGAUACCACUCUAGCAGAUGGUACAUGUGCUCGAACAGCUAUUUCUAGCGGCCUUUUAAAAGCCUGAAUGAUUAGAUAAGGUGAUUAACGCGCCUAUACAGUUGCUUUUUUUCUCCAGUGGCAAUACCUCAUUUGUCUCAAGAACUACUUUCUGACAGCUAAGAAUACAUGGUGAUGAUCACAGUUGCUUGCAGAUACAUAUAAAAUCAUAGUUCUUAAAGCGAGCGCCCAGGCGCAAAUAAAGCCCCGGGCCCAACAAAUAGUGCGCCUCACGCCUUUAAUCUUCAAGUUAGUUCAUAAACUUCUGCAUGGACAGGAAUUUGUUAUGUGUAUUAAAAAAACAUAUGAAUGACGUUCCUGAGCUUGCUGAGAUGAAAAGGAGAGCAAACACAAGAAGUUUAAAGGAGAUGGCUUUGCUUUUGAGGAGUGGAUCUAAGCUAAUAUGGAUUGCAGCAAGUGGCGGCACGGACAUGCCCGAUCCAAUCACAAAUCAGUGGUCUCCGGCGCCAUUUGAUGCCUCUGCUGUGGACAACAUGAGAUCCGCUUCAGAACUGCUUCAGAUCUGGAAAUGGUUCGAUUACUCAAAGGUUUGAAUAGCGGUGUGGGCUUGGUUCAUUAUUAUAAGGAAGGCUUAGACCAGAUAUGAAUGGAGGGCAUCGUAACGGCGAUUUGGAAGGAAUAAUUUAUAUACAUUUUGUGGAAAAUGCGGACGAGUGGUUUCGGGUUUUUGAUUUAAAUUCCAACUUUUGGGUCGCUUUUCCGGCUACUGUUGUGGGUCCUAAAAGCUGCUUUGACAGGUUUAGUGGGUUACACCGUUACGGAGAUGCUUACCAAUUGGGGAGACCAUCUCUGGUUGCCAAACAACGGUGAGCAGUUGCGGUGGAUGAUGAUGAUGGUGUUACUUGAAGGUUGCUGGGUCGCUUACAGCAAAUGUGGUAAGUUCUGGUGACCUUUGAAUCAGUUAUAAUGCUAUAAUGCUGCCAUUUUGUAAGCAAUGCAGUUUUUUUCUUGCGGAUGCUAUUUUUGUUAGCGAGGAGCAGAUGUAAUAGAUGUUAUAGUCUCUUCUUUUGUAAUAGAUGUACAUUGUUAUUGACUUAUCCUUUUUUGAAAGAUGUACUAAAAUGUAUUUCGUGGUCGUUUACGUUUUCGUAUAUGUUGACUUUGGCUAA